rnacentral:rRNA from 1 species
UACGUAGGGUGCAAGCGUUGUCCGGAAUUAUUGGGCGUAAAGAGCUCGUAGGCGGUUUGUCGCGUCGGCUGUGAAAACCUGGGGCUCAACCCCGGGCCUGCAGCCGAUACGGGCAGACUAGAAUUCGGUAGGGGAGUCCGGAAUUCCUGGUGUAGCGGUGAAAUGCGCAGAUAUCAGGAGGAACACCGGUGGCGAAGGCGGGUCUCUGGGCCGAUACUGACGCUGAGGAGCGAAAGCGUGGGGAGCGAACAGG